rnacentral:rRNA from 1 species
GACGAACGCUGGCGGCGUGCUUAACACAUGCAAGUCGAACGGAAAGGCCCUGCUUUUGUGGGGUGCUCGAGUGGCGAACGGGUGAGUAACAAGUGAGUAACCUGCCCUUGACUUUGGGAUAACUUCAGGAAACUGGGGCUAAUACCGGAUAGGAGCUCCUGCUGCAUGGUGGGGGUUGGAAAGUUUCGGCGGUUGGGGAUGGACUCGCGGCUUAUCAGCUUGUUGGUGGGGUAGUGGCUUACCAAGGCUUUGACGGGUAGCCGGCCUGAGAGGGUGACCGGCGACAUUGGGACUGCGAGACGGCCCAGACGCCUACAGGGGGCAACAGUGGGGAAUAUUGCACAAUGGGCGGAAGCCUGAUGCAGAAACGCCGCGUGCGGGAUGACGGCCUUCGGGUGGUAAACCGCUUUCGCCUGUGACGAAGCGUGAGUGACGGUAAUGGGUAAAGAAGCACCGGCUAACUACGUG